CCUACGGGAGGCAGCAGUGAGGAAUAUUGGUCAAUGGACGAGAGUCUGAACCAGCCAAGUAGCGUGAAGGAUGAAUGCCCUAUGGGUUGUAAACUUCUUUUGUAUGGGAAUAAAAUGUUCCACGUGUGGGAUUUUGUAUGUACCAUAUGAAUAAGGAUCGGCUAACUCCGUGCCAGCAGCCGCGGUAAUACGGAGGAUCCGAGCGUUAUCCGGAUUUAUUGGGUUUAAAGGGAGCGUAGGUGGAUUGUUAAGUCAGUUGUGAAAGUUUGGGGCUCAACCGUAGAAUUGCAGUUGAAACUGGCAGUCUAGAGUACAGUAGAGGGGGGCAGAAUUCGAGGUGUAGCGGUGAAAUGCGUAGAUAUCACGAAGAACUCCGAUUGCGAAGGCAGCUCACUGGACUGCAACUGACGCUGAGGCUCGAAAGUGUGGGUAGCAAACAGGAUUAGAUACCCCGGUAGUC
rnacentral:rRNA from 1 species